UGUCUCCUAUAUGACGCAGGCAGUAUCCUGCAUGACCAGGGCAGUGUCUCCUGUAUGACCGGGGCAGUGACUCCUGUAUGACAUGGGCAGUGACUCCUGUAUGACGUGGGAUUGUGGCUCCUGUAUUACCUGGGCAGUGACGCCUGUAUGACGUGGGAUUGUGGCUCCUGUAUGACCUGGGCAGUGACUCCUGUAUUACAAGGCAGUGACUCUGAUAUGACAAGCAGGGGUUCCCGUGUGAUGGGGCAGUGGCUCCUGAGUGACAUGGGCAGUGGUUCCAUUAUGAUAUUGGAGAGGCCAGGUCCAUCUUGUGCACACUUGGGGUGACUUUGGCAUUGUUACUGCAAGAUCAGUCAGCUGUGACCUGCAGACCAUCUUUGCUGGGGCAGGGAGAGUCAGGCCUGAGUCUGUCUCACAAAGGUCUUUGCAAAAAGUCACUUCUGCACCUAGAUCAGUCAGUGCCGAUUGAGAACUCCAGGAGUACCAAGGACGAGGCUUGGCUCAAGCAAAAUGUGAGCGGCCUGGAGGGAGUGGAGAUGCUUACAAAGGGUCUCCAUUCCAGGCAGUCCAGUGGCAGGCAACACCAAGACUAGCUGGGCCCUUGGAAGCAUCCGGGCCCACCUCACCAGGGCCUCCAGCCCGCACACCUGGCAGGGACGCUGUCACUCAGCACACAUUGAACAGAGAACUGACUGAAUACAGCCUCCUGCUGGCCGGGGCCUCCCUGGCCCAUGUGCUGCUGCUGAGGGUCCUCCCCCAGAGCACGGGAUCCUUCCACACCAAUGACUUUAAUCCGUUUCAAUAUCAGAGACCUGUGUAGGACUCUGGAAAUUCAGAGGGUGAUUGACUCUUUUCCCAAUAACUGCUGUGAAAAACAGAACAGAUGAAUUCUAGAAGAACGUCUGAAAUUCAAGCAUCCCAUGAAGUAUCUCCACUGGUGGGUUCCUUACAGCUAGUCAGCAAAUGAAACCAGAGUCGCCCACCAGUAUCCUGGUGAGUCAUCGCCAGCCUGAAUUAUUAGAAAGGGAUGGCUGUCCCGGCUGGCAUCUUCCCUUUCAUCUGCUGCUGUUCCCUUGUCCUGUGACAUCAGUGUUGUCAUCCUAUGAGAAUUGUCAACAUCACCUCAUGGGUAAGAAAUCAAUUCCUGCUACGUUCUCUACAGCUGCUUCUGUCUGGGAAUGAAGGAAGGCGUUUUAUUAUAAAAGAAAGUUUGUAUUCAAGUUUCUAUUCAUGGAACUUGAAGGAAUGGAACUUCCUGAAACCAGGAGGUUCAGAAAGAUAGGAAGAAGAUUAUCAUCUCAAAAGAACACGCCUCGUAUCAUCUGGUGGAAAGCAGGGGUGGGGAGAUGGUGCUCCGUGCUGCAAGUCAACCGGCAGUUUUGAGAAUGCCAUAAAUUGGAUUAAGGAUUGCACGUCGGAAAAUAAAGUUGUCUGCUGAUAUGGGGCCUUUUCAUUUGGGGCUGUGGCAAACCUCAUAAGCCUGCAGCACUUCUGAGAAUGGAGCCAAACCAGGGCAUUCAAUCGCAGAGGUUAAAGUGAUUCUUCCACUGAGUUAAUCUAAAUCUAGAUCAUAUUGAAUCUGCCUCCUGUCUGGCAUGGAAACGUUUUCCAAGGUAUUCACGUUGAAAGUAUGAAUUACCCACACUCUCCUUAAAGCCCCAUCCAAUUAAAAGUAGAUGAAAAUCUCCUUGAUGCCAAGGACUUUAAAACAUGCCGGGGGUAUGAGAGAUAUAUAUUUACAGGAAAUCUGAUAGAAAAUACAACCAUGUAACCUGCGGGCGAGUCUGAGAAGAUGUUUACUCAGGACUUGUGUUUCUUUUUAAAACAAUUACUUUCGUUAUGUAUCUAAAGUGCCUCCUGUGUCCUUUCGGAUAAAGACAGAUUAGGCCUUUACUCAAGAAUGAAUCAGAAGCCCUGGCAUUCUAGGCAGCUAGAGAGUUUGUAUUCACUUUCAGAAAACCGAAAAAGAAAUCCGAUGAAAGAGACCAACAAGGAAAAGUAAUGUUUUCUUUGAAAUGGAAAUAUGCUUAGAGAGGAAGUGGUCACUGGAGUCUUAAAAAAA